UUCUCCGCCACCUCGGAUGUCAUAUCCUGUCUUGAAGCUUUCGGUAGCUUUCUCUUCCCCCGCUCCCCGCGGCUCAAUUUCCCAGACAAUCCCAUCGUGCUUUUCAUACAACCUGCUGGAGAAGUUUGCAGAUUUUUCCAUACAUCAAGAAGACCAUAUACCAAUGCAGAGCACACAAUAAAAAUACAAGUUUUA